rnacentral:ncRNA from 2 species
GGGUCGUACGGCGAUGGAGUUCGCCACAACCGCCCGCGGGGGCUGAUGACUCCUACCGAAAA